rnacentral:rRNA from 1 species
CCUACGGGCGGCAGCAGUGGGGAAUAUUGGACAAUGGGGGGAACCCUGAUCCAGCCAUGCCGCGUGUGUGAAGAAGGCCCUCGGGUUGUAAAGCACUUUCAGUGAGGAAGAACGCCUGGUGGUUAAUACCCAUCAGGAAAGACAUCACUCACAGAAGAAGCACCGGCUAACUCCGUGCCAGCAGCCGCGGUAAUACGGAGGGUGCGAGCGUUAAUCGGAAUUACUGGGCGUAAAGCGCGCGUAGGUGGCUUGAUAAGCCGGUUGUGAAAGCCCCGGGCUCAACCUGGGAACGGCAUCCGGAACUGUCAAGCUAGAGUGCAGGAGAGGAAGGUAGAAUUCCCGGUGUAGCGGUGAAAUGCGUAGAGAUCAGGAGGAAUACCAGUGGCGAAGGCGGCCUUCUGGACUGACACUGACACUGAGGUGCGAAAGCGUGGGUAGCAAACAGGAUUAGAUACCCUGGUAGUC